rnacentral:misc_RNA from 1 species
AAGUCGUAACAAGGUUUCCGUAGGUGAACCUGCGGAAGGAUCAUUACAGUAACAACUCGGGGCCGCUCGGGUGUGCCCUGCGCCGGCGGAGACGCUGUGCUGCGGGCCCCUGAUGCCCCAUCCAAACCAAACCCCUGUGCACCUUUGGGAGGGUGGGUGUGAGCCUGCCGUCCCGUCCACAAACUCUAAGUCUAUAGAAUGCUGCGCGCACUUUGUGCUGCCUAAACAAAUAACAACUUUCAACAACGGAUCUCUUGGCUCUC